rnacentral:lncRNA from 1 species
GUCAAACAUUAGCCUCGAGAAGGGCCAGCGGGAAAGCACGGAGGCUUCUGAGAUAUGGCUGCAACUCAGGCAUUUAUGUGGAUCAUCCCCGUGGCUUUUCCAUUGCUCUGGGGUCCUGUGAUGUCCCACCUGGCAGGAGCUGGCGUAUCUUAGACGUCCAUGAAAUGAAAGGUGAGGUGCUUCCUCGGAGAGUGCUAAACACCAGGGAGGGAGCUUGACUUAGACCAGAAAACAGCAUUGGUGAGAUAUCCUGAGAAGAGAGAAAGUGACUGCAGACUUGUAC